rnacentral:rRNA from 1 species
AUUACCGCGGCUGCUGGCACGAAGUUAGCCGGGGCUUCUUUCUGCGGGUACCGUCAUUAUCUUCCCCGCCGAAAGGACUUUACAACCCUAAGGGCCUUCAUCAUCCACGCGGCAUGGCUGGAUCAGGCUUGCGCCCAUUGUCCAAUAUUCCCCACUGCUGCCUCCCGUAGG